GUCUCGGCCAAUAGCGAGGCCGCAGGGCCAGAGGUUGGCCAAUGGGAAGAGGGCGGCGCGAGGUUCCGCCCCCGCCGGGCCGACCGCACCCCUCGCGGGCCAUGAGCUUCGCGCGCAGGGCUGCGGCGCAGUUUGUACACAACUUCUCUGACAGAUUGGGCCGCCGGAGCACUGGGCGGAGGAAAGGAGAGAGAGAAGCGGGUGGAAUCUAGGAAGAGGGGGAAUCAGGGUGGAGACGCGGAGGGAGAUCUCUCCCAACUGUUCUCUCUGCCAGGAUUAGGGUGAAAAAAAAAAAAAAAAAGUAAUGCUCGUCUUAGGUGUUGUGCAAGGACCUGAAACUCGAAAGCUGAACCCAGAAGGCAGCUAGGUGGUGGGGCUGAGGUUUCCAACUCUCGUCCACACUGUCGUCUCCGGAGGGGGGAAAAUGGAGUUUAAUAUUUUCAGAAGAGGAGCACAGACCAUCUACCUAAUAUAGUGACACCUUUUCCUACGAAACGGGAACCAAAGAAGCCACAGAUAUUCACAGAUACUCAACGGCUCUGAGAACUGGGAAUCCAAAUUUGCAGGAAAAUAACAGCCAAAUAUUUAACUACCCAUUUCCUGCGUUGCUUUAAUGGAGGAUGUACGUAUGCGGACAGCACAUUGUGCCAGAGUACCCACAGAGAGCACACUGGCCACUUCCCAAGGAAGCAUCUUUUUAAGAGUUCUCAAGAAAUGCACCUCAAAGGGUAUACAAGCCCUCAGGAGGUGGAGGCAAGAGGAUUUUGUUCAAGGUCAUCCCUGGAGAAUGGAUUGAAGGUCAGCCGGGGAUUCAUGAGACCCUGUUUCAAAACACACAGCGAAGCGAAACUAAACAAGAACAAAAGAAAGAGGGAGAAAGUACGUGUCAGUACCAUUUAUUGGCUGUGACGGUGCACCUGGAACUGACAGCGUUAUACUUGAUUGGAUUGACAGCUGCUGCUCAUGGCGCUGAGGAAGGUCUUGAAUCGGAUCCAUUGAGUUGAAACGACCCACCUUAACUGUGGGGAGCCACACUCGGGUUAAGUCCUUGGCUGCACAAAAAGGAGAAAAUGAACUGAAUGCGGCUACUCACAGACCUCUGCUUCCUGACCGUGGAUGUCCUGUAGGCAGCUGCCCCAUGCUCCUGCUUCUGGGCUCUCCACAAAGGACAGUCUCAAACCUGGGGCUGAGACAGUUCCUUAAGUUGCCUUUGCCACGUGCUCUGUCAUCCUAAUAAAGAAAGUAACUCGUAUGUUGUAUUAGAAUAGAAUUGUGUGAAGUCACCUAGAGUGAAGCUUCAUAGGCACCAGGCUAAGAUCCACAGGCAACCUAGGAGAAAGACACAAGUGAGACUAUGUGUUGAUGGUGGGCAGGGUCAGGUCUGAGUGCUAUAAAAGCCAUUAUUAUAAAAGCUCAUUCUGGAGAAAGCGCUUUCUACAGCUAGAUUUUGACUUCAUGUUUUAUCUCCAUGCUAUUUUACCAGUGUGUGUGUUUGUGUGUGCACACGGUUGUGACGGCCUGA